rnacentral:tRNA from 1 species
ACCUGGCUGGCUCAACAGGUGGAGCAUGUGACUCUUGAUCUCAGGUUGUGUGUUCAAGCCCCACGUUGGGCG